rnacentral:lncRNA from 1 species
AGUGACUUCACUUAGGAAAUAAGCACCUAGGAGAGACUCCACAGUAGUCAAAGAAUUAUAAGAGGCAUCGUGCCUGAAAAAAUUCACAGGAGAAAUUUGAAUGAUAAAAAGUACUUUGCCUUUUGACAGUGUUAUUCCCAACUUACCGUGUUCUCGUUCCAUCUGGGAACCCUUCUUAUUGGAAAAUUCAUCACAUGGAAGGAAAAAAUACCCCAAAAAAGUUCAAAAAUGCAUGUCACCCCCUUUUAAAUAAAAAAUAAGAAUUUAGGAAGAGAA